AGAUACCCCANUAUGCCUAGCCACAAAAAAUUUACUUACACCAAUAACCGCCAGGGAACUACGAGCUUUAGCUUAAAACCCAAAGGACUUGACGGUGUCCCACCCAANUAGAGGAGCCUGUCCUAUAAUCGAUACUCCACGUUACACCUAGCCACUUUUUGCUUAUCAGCCUGUACACCUCCGUCGUAAGCUUACCAUAUGAACGUAUAACAGUAAGCCUAAGGGCUCAANGCCACAAUGGCAGGUCAAGGUGCAGCUCACAAAGUGGAAGAGAUGAGCUACAAUUUCUAACAUAGAACAUACGAAAUAUUAUAUGAAACAUAAUCAUGAAGGUGGAUUUAGUAGUAAGUGAGGAAUAGAGAGCCUCACUUAACUCGGCCCUGGGACGUGUACAAACCGCCCGUCGCCCUCUUCGACAGCCCCUUUAUAGGUUUAUAACACGAAUUUAAGCGCCUUANNNNNNNNNNNNNNNNNNNNNNNNNNNNNNNUGGAAAGUGUUCUUGGAACAACAAAAUGUUGCUUAAACAAAGCACCCCGCUUACACCGGAGAAAUUUCUGUGUAACCCAGAUCAUUUUGAGCCUAAUUUCUAGCCUANNCACCCCCCCAUAAAAACUCCUAACAAAUGAAAUUAAACAAAACAUUUUUACCUUUUAGUAGAGGUGAUCGAAAAAACACUUAGAGCUUCAGAAAAAGUACCGCAAGGGAAAGAUGAAAUAAAAAUGAAAAAUUUAAAGCCCAAAAUAAUAGAGAUUAUAACUCGUACCUUUUGCAUCAUGGUUUAACUAGUCUAACCAAGCAAAAUGAAAUUUAAGUUUGCACACCCGAAACUAAGCGAGCUACCUAAAAACAGCUCAAAGAGCUAACCCGUCUCUGUAGCAAUAGAGUGGGAAGAUUUUUAAGUAGAGGUGACAAGCCUACCGAGCUUAGAGAUAGCUGGUUAUUCAAGAAAAGAAUUUUAGUUCUCCCUUAAAUAUAAGCAUGUUGAUAAACAACACCCAAAGAUUUAAGAGUUAUUCAAUUAAGGCACAGCUUAUUUGAAAAAGGAUACAACCUACAAAACCGGGUAAAAUACUACAAACAUAACAAGUAGGCCUGAAAGCAGCCACCUUUAUGAAAGCGUUAAAGCUUAUUAUAAUAUCUCAACUAAUUCCAUUAUAUAUUAUGAACCCCAAUCAACUAUUGAAUGACCCCAUAAUUAUAUGGACACCACUAUGUUAAAACUAGUAACACGAAUUUAAAAUUCUCCAAAAUGUAAAUAUAAACCAAAAUGGAUAAACCAUUGGUGAUUAACGAAUAUAAAUUACUUACAGUAAAAUCACAAGNAAANUCNGUAUAAANUUAUAGUUAACCUCACAAUAGAACAUUAAUGGAAAGAUUAAAAGAGAAAGAAGGAACUCGGCAAAUUCUGACCCCGCCUGUUUACCAAAAACAUCGCCUCUUGCUUCACAUAAGAGGUCCAGCCUGCCCAGUGAAAUUUUAACGGCCGCGGUACCCUGACCGUGCGAAGGUAGCAUAAUCACUCGUUCUCUAAAUAAGGACUUGUAUCAAUGGCAUCACGAGAGUCACACUGUCUCCUCUCUCCAAUCAGUGAACCUAAUCUCCCCGUGAAGAAGCGGGGUUACACCCAUAAGACGAGAAGACCCCAUGGAGCUUUAAACCUUAAAGCAAUUUAAAUAAAAUAUUUCCACAUAUACUUUAUUUAUGCAUGAAAGUUUUGGGUUGGGGUGACCGCGGAGCAAAAACUAACCUCCACAACGAAAAGAACUAAAUCUUUAUCUAAGAACUACUAUUCCAAGAAUCAACACACUGACGAAUACUGAUCCGAUAAUCGAUCAAUGAACCAAGUUACCCUGGGGAUAACAGCGCAAUCUACUUCGAGAGCUCAUAUCGACAAGUAGGCUUACGACCUCGAUGUUGGAUCAGGGUAUCCCAGUGGUGCAGCCGCUACUAAUGGUUCGU
rnacentral:misc_RNA from 1 species